rnacentral:rRNA from 1 species
AUUGAACGCUGGCGGCAUGCUUUACACAUGCAAGUCGGACGGCAGCGGGGUAGUGCUUGCACUACUGCCGGCGAGUGGCGCACGGGUGAGUAAUAUAUUGGAACGUACCGAGUAAUGGGGGAUAACCAAUCGAAAGAUUGGCUAAUACCGCAUACGCUCUGAGGAGGAAAGCAGGGGACCUUCGGGCCUUGCGUUAUUCGAGCGGCCAAUAUCUGAUUAGCUAGUUGGUGGGGUAAGGGCCUACCAAGGCGACGAUCAGUAGCGGGUCUGAGAGGAUGAUCCGCCACACUGGGACUGAGACACGGCCCAGACUCCUACGGGAGGCAGCAGUGGGGAAUUUUGGACAAAGGGCGCAAGCCUGAUCCAGCCAUGCCGCGUGUCUGAAGAAGGCCUUCGGGUUGUAAAGGACUUUUGUUAGGGAAGAAAAAGGAGCGGUUAAUACCCGUUUCUGCUGACGGUACCUAAAGAAUAAGCACCGGCUAACUACGUG